rnacentral:rRNA from 1 species
CGCCAGAACCAGAUCACCCUGCAGUUCUCACCUGGGUUCCCACUGAAGCUAAGUAGGCUUGAGCCUGGCCAGUAUCUGGAUGGGAGACCUCCAGGUUGCAGAGGGACGUGGUAU